UACGAAGGGGGCUAGCGUUGCUCGGAAUCACUGGGGGUAAAGGGUGCGUAGGCGGGUCUUUAAGUCAGGGGUGAAAUCCUGGAGCUCAACUCCAGAACUGCCUUUGAUACUGAGGAUCUUGAGUUCGGGAGAGGUGAGUGGAACUGCGAGUGUAGAGGUGAAAUUCGUAGAUAUUCGCAAGAACACCAGUGGCGAAGGCGGCUCACUGGCCCGAUACUGACGCUCAGGCGCGACAGCGUGGGGAUCAAACAGG
rnacentral:rRNA from 1 species